rnacentral:sRNA from 1 species
UGACUAAAACUUCCUGUCGCUCAACAACCC